UCUUAAAGGUUGUUUACACCUUGUGUGGAAGUCAGUCCCAGUCAGCACACAGCAUGGACAUGAGGGUCCCUGCUCAGAUCCUGGGGCUCCUCCUGCUCUGGCUCCCAGGUGCCAAAUGUGACAUCCAGAUGACCCAGACUCCAUCCUCCCUGUCUGCAUCUCCAGGAAACACAGUCACCAUCAAUUGCAGGGCCAGUCAGGGCAUUAGCAGUUGGUUAGCCUGGUUUCAGCAGAAACCAGGGAAAGCUCCUAAGCGGCUGAUAUAUAGAGCAUCCAAUUUAGAAUCAGGUGUCCCAUCCAGGUUCAGUGGCAGUGGAUCUGGGACAGAUUACUCUCUUACUAUCAGCAGCCUGCAGCCUGAAGAUUUUGCCACUUAUUACUGUAUGCAGUAUGAUGUGUUUCCUCCCACAGUGAUACAAGUCAUAGCAUAAACCUCCCAAGGAACCAGAAGUGAGAGGCUGGGCUGCCCCAGCUGCUCCUCCUUGUGCCUCCAACUGUUGACAGCGUUUCUCAGAUGCAACUAGAUUCUGAAGGUCAUUUGAAGAUGUUGGUCAAAGUAGCUUGGCAGAAUUCUCUCUACUCUAACUCUCUGCAGCAGUAUAAACAUGCUAAUGCCUCACCUGAUGCAAUAGAUGACACAACUCACAGCAUGGGAGGAGUCUGCAAGAGCAUUAAUUGGGGUUCAUUUGGAAAGUGGAGACACGCUAGUUAAUCCAAGCAGAAAUAAAUUGUAAGAAAUAAAUUAAUUUACUUUUUAGUCCUCAAAAUAUUUGUACAGAUUUCUUCUUCAAUUCUCAAUUUAAUUUUUUAUUUCUUGUUUUAUAGCAUUUGGAGGAGGACAUCCUGUAUAAUUUUGUAAGUGAGGAAGUGAUAGUAACCUUUCAGCAUUUAAUAUCACUGAUAAGAAAUAAUGUGAAAUAUUUCACCACUGAGUAUAAUAUUUGUCAUAGAUUUUUACGUAUGCUUUAAACCACUAAAGAAUUUUCCCAUUAGUUCUGUCUUCCUUAGACAUGAGUAGCUUUUGAAUUAUCAUGAAUAGCUGUUGACUUUUAGAAAUAUUCUCAACUACUGUACUAAUAUUACCUUGUUUCUAAUCUUGAUAGAGUGGUGAAUUAUAUGGCUUAACAGAUUAUUUUAAAAUCACAUAUUUUGAAAAUGGCUUUCCAUUUGUGUAGUAUAUUUAACUUGCUCAAAAAUGGAGUCUUUGAGAGAAGGAGGAGGAGGUAAACAUGGAGGAAGAAGUGGAGGAGGAGAAUAAGAUGAAUUUCUCCUUUAAUAUGACAAAUUUGAACAAUGUGAGGAAGAGAAAAGAUGAAGUUCUUUUCAUCUAUAGUCACAAAGAUAGGGUAUAAAGAUAAUUGUGGAAUUUAAAUGAUAUUAAUAAAGUUUUAUGAAGGUGAAUAUAACAGAUGGAAAGAAAUGAUGACCUGAGCCACCGACAAGAUGGGAAGUGCUGCUCCAACUCCACAUGGAGAUGACCUUGGAGAAAGCAUGGCCAUUGUGGUCCACAAUGCUGCAAGAACAAGAUUUGUUGAUGCACAGCUAUCCCAUUUGGGGAAAUGAUAUAAUUUAUCCUAACCUCAAACAUAACUGUACAAGGCAAAACUCAAAUGAGAUGAGUGGAAAGUGUCU